GUGGGGAAUCUUGCGCAAUGGGCGAAAGCCUGACGCAGCCAUGCCGCGUGGAUGAUGAAGGUCUUAGGAUUGUAAAAUCCUUUCACCGGUGAAGAUAAUGACUGUAGCCGGAGAAGAAGCCCCGGCUAACUUCGUGCCAGCAGCCGCGGUAAUACGAAGGGGGCUAGCGUUGCUCGGAUUUACUGGGCGUAAAGGGCGCGUAGGCGGACAUUUAAGUCAGGGGUGAAAUCCCGGGGCUCAACCUCGGAACUGCCUUUGAUACUGGGUGUCUUGAGUAUGAGAGAGGUGUGUGGAACUCCGAGUGUAGAGGUGAAAUUCGUAGAUAUUCGGAAGAACACCAGUGGCGAAGGCGACUCACUGGCCCAAUACUGACGCUGAGGCGCGAAAGCGUGGGGAGCAAACAGGAUUAGAAACCCUGGUAGUCC
rnacentral:rRNA from 1 species